rnacentral:rRNA from 1 species
CAUGCAGUCGAGCGGACAGAAGGGAGCUUGCUCCCGGAUGUUAGCGGCGGACGGGUGAGUAACACGUGGGUAACCUGCCUGUAAGACUGGGAUAACUCCGGGAAACCGGAGCUAAUACCGGAUAGUUCCUUGAACCGCAUGGUUCAAGGAUGAAAGACGGUUUCGGCUGUCACUUACAGAUGGACCCGCGGCGCAUUAGCUAGUUGGUGGGGUAAUGGCUCACCAAGGCGACGAUGCGUAGCCGACCUGAGAGGGUGAUCGGCCACACUGGGACUGAGACACGGCCCAGACUCCUACGGGAGGCAGCAGUAGGGAAUCUUCCGCAAUGGACGAAAGUCUGACGGAGCAACGCCGCGUGAGUGAUGAAGGUUUUCGGAUCGUAAAGCUCUGUUGUUAGGGAAGAACAAGUGCGAGAGUAACUGCUCGCACCUUGACGGUACCUAACCAGAAAGCCACGGCUAACUACGUGCCAGCAGCCGCGGUAAUACGUAGGUGGCAAGCGUUGUCCGGAAUUAUUGGGCGUAAAGGGCUCGCAGGCGGUUUCUUAAGUCUGAUGUGAAAGCCCCCGGCUCAACCGGGGAGGGUCAUUGGAAACUGGGAAACUUGAGUGCAGAAGAGGAGAGUGGAAUUCCACGUGUAGCGGUGAAAUGCGUAGAGAUGUGGAGGAACACCAGUGGCGAAGGCGACUCUCUGGUCUGUAACUGACGCUGAGGAGCGAAAGCGUGGGGAGCGAACAGGAUUAGAUACCCUGGUAGUCCACGCCGUAAACGAUGAGUGCUAAGUGUUAGGGGGUUUCCGCCCCUUAGUGCUGCAGCUAACGCAUUAAGCACUCCGCCUGGGGAGUACGGUCGCAAGACUGAAACUCAAAGGAAUUGACGG